rnacentral:rRNA from 1 species
GACGAACGCUGGCGGCAUGCCUAAUACAUGCAAGUCGAGCGAACAGAUGAAGUGCUUGUACUUCUGGCGCUAGCGGCGAACGGGUGAGUAACACGUAAGGAAUCUACCUAUAAGCGGGGGAUAACAUUCGGAAACGGGUGCUAAUACCGCAUAAUAUCUUCUUCCGCAUGGAAGAAGAUUGAAAGACGGCUCUGCUGUCACUUAUAGAUGACCUUGCGGUGCAUUAGUUAGUUGGUGGGGUAACGGCCUACCAAGACGAUGAUGCAUAGCCGACCGAGGAGGGUGAUCGGCCACAUUGGGACUGAGACACGGCCCAAACUCCUACGGGAGGCAGCAGUAGGGAAUCUUCCGCAAUGGGCGAAAGCCUGACGGAGCAAUGCCGCGUGAGUGAAGAAGGCCUUCGGGUCGUAAAACUCUGUUAUAAGAGAAGAACAAAUUGUAGAGUAACUGCUACAGUCUUGACGGUAUCUUAUCAGAAAGCCACGGCUAACUACGUGCCAGCCGCCGCCGUAA